GCGCACGGCUCCGCGGCGAGGAGGAACCAGCUCUACCACUUCAUCAGCACAACUGUCUGGGGCCGCCUCUCCGCCAGCAGGCCCGGCGCCGCCCACUUCCUGCGACCAAAUAAGGCCGGGAAGGCGUCUUUAAACCUCAUGCGGCUGCCCAGGCUGGGGAUUUCCAGCAGACCUCACCUCUACUCUCCAGGCCGUGGCCACCCUCCCCCAGCCCAGACCUGAGCCCCCGAUGGCUUUGCGGUAACCAACAUGCCACGCGGCUGGUUCCUUGCACACCAAGGUCAGGAGGAGACAGUGACGAAAUGUUUGGAAACUCAUCGAGCCUGCCAGGAAAGUGUGUGUGCGCGAUGGUGGAGAGGGCACAAGUCGCUUUCUUCCACAAAGAAAACUGUGGUUUGGGAUACGGUUUCUGCCCCUCUACUGACAAUUGGUCCAAGUGAGGAAAACAAAAGCAACCCACAGUCUCCAGUGCCCACUACUGCCAUGCUCCUCAUUAGGCCUACAGCCAUCCUGACAUUCCUUAGGGCUCACUCAGCUUCUGCAGAGGGAGCCCCUGAGAGAUAAUACAAACCAGCCCUGGGACAUCCCCAGUCAACUAGAAAGGGCAGCUGGGGAGCACAUUCCUAGAAGAGCCAUAGAACCAGGGCCCAGCCUCACGGGAACAAGUAGGAGCCACUCCAAAGGGCACUGUUCAGCCUCGUCCUGCCAGGACUUCCUCCCCUCCCACACAGACUACAAGGCCUGUCCCAAGAGCAGCACAGGAAGGAGAGAUGACCGUACACAGGACCAGCCUAACACAAUCAAGCCUCUAGGGUAUGCCUGACAAGAGAAAACCUAUGGUUUCACCCAGCACCCUGAGAGGAAGGCAUUAUCCUCAUUUUAUAGAUAAGGAAGCUG